ensembl:lncRNA
CUAACACCUAACCUCUGACCUCUAGCACCUAACCUCUGACUCCCGGCUGCUGUUUUUAGCUAGGAAGCUGGUUGACUUCAGCUCUUACUUCUAAGUUACUAUAGUUACCUUGACUUCUGCUUUAAUAAUGAACACCUCUGACCUCUAACCUCUGACCUCUGACUCUAGGCUGGCCUGACGGCGCUUGCUCUCCAGACAUUCAUCAACCUGUUCCAAAACUUCAGCCUCUUCACCGAUCAGCUCGAUGACAGCGCGGUUACCACGACAACGCCCGCAGCACGCCCGUCGCCAACGGAGUCACCAUAGUAACCACCAACCCCUACCAGCAGGCCCCUCCCUUCAGCGAAACUCUGAGUCUGGACCCUUCUGCCCUCACACCUGCUCCUGUCUUCUAGAGGAGAGAGACGGAGAGAGUAGAGAGAAGAGAAAGAUGGAGAGAUGGAGAGAGAGAGAUGGGGAGAGUAGAGAAAGAUGGAGAGAGGAGAGAGGGAGAGAAGAGAGAUGGAGAUAGAUGUAGAGAGAGGGGGAGAGAGGAGAGAGAGAUGGAGAGAAGAGAUAGAGGGAGAGAUGCAGAGAGAGAGAGAAGAGAUAGAUGAGCGAGAUGCGGAGGAAUGGACAGAGAGAAGAGAGGGAGGAUAUGAGAAAUAAAGAGAGAGAGAAUAGGAGAGAGUUUCUAGGCGUGAGACCGUUGUGACAUGACAGAGGUUGUAGCUUCAAGAUGUUGUGGGUUAGCCUGAUUGGCCGACUGAGGGUCAGGUGAUGCUGGCUCUCUGUCACCAUGGCAACUGCUGGCUCAGUCUAGGAUUCACACAGAGCAGGAACUAGAGCACACACACAGAGGCCAUUUUACCCAGAGAGGUAUAUAACAUUGUUGUAAAUAUAGCAGUCUACAUCACCUUAUGAAGGUCCUUUGGAACUCAGUAUUAAAGCUGUAGGAAACAGAGAGAUUAGAGAGAGAGAGAGACAGAGAAACAGAGAGAGAGACAGAGAAACAGAAAGAGAGAGACAGAGAAACAGAAAGAGAGAGACAGAGAAACAGAAAGAGAGAGACAGAGAAACAGAAAGAGAGAGACAGAGAAACAGAGAGAGAGAGACAGAGAAACAGAGAGAGAGAGACAGAGAAACAGAAAGAGAGAGACAGAGACAGAGAAACAGAAAGAGAGAGACAGAGAAACAGAGAGAGACAGAGAAACAGAGAGAGAGAGACAGAGACAGAGAAACAGAAAGAGAGAGACAGAGACAGAGAAACAGAAAGAGAGAGACAGAGAGAGAAACACAGAGAUAA